AACGCUGGCGGCGUGUUCAACACAUGCAAGUCGAACGAACCUUCGGGUUAGUGGCGGACGGGUGAGUAACGCGUGUAGCCUCUGCCCUCAGGAGGGGGAUAACGGUUGGAAACGACCGCUAAUACCCCAUAUGCCGAGAGGUGAAAAGAAAUUCGCCUGAGGAUGAGCUCGCGUCUGAUUAGCUAGUUGGUGUGGUAAUGGCGCACCAAGGCUUCGAUCAGUAGCUGGUCUGAGAGGAUGAUCAGCCACACUGGGACUGAGACACGGCCCAGACUCCUACGGGAGGCAGCAGUG
rnacentral:rRNA from 1 species